rnacentral:rRNA from 1 species
AAACGUAGGAGGCGAGCGUUAUCCGGAUUUAUUGGGCGUAAAGCGCGUGCAGGCGGUUUGGAAAGUUGGAUGUGAAAGCUCCUGGCUUAACUGGGAGAGGUCGUUCAAAACUACCAGACUAGAGAAUGGGAGAGGGAAGUGGAAUUCCGGGUGUAAUGGUGAAAUGCGUAGAUAUCCGGAGGAACACCAGUGGCGAAAGCGGCUUCCUGGACCAUUUCCGACGCUAAGACGCGAAAGCUAGGGGAGCGAACGGGAUUAGAGACCCCGGUAGUCCUAGCUGUAAACGAUGUAGACUUGGCGUUGGCGGAGUUAAAUCUGCCAGUGCCGGAGCUAACGCGUUAAGUCUACCGCCUGGGGACUACGACCGCAAGGUUAAA